rnacentral:tRNA from 1 species
CAGAAAAUAGUUUAUUAAAAUAUUAAUUUUGGAGAUUAAAGAUAAAGGUUUCUUUUUUUCUGA